rnacentral:rRNA from 1 species
GUACCGCAAGAAGAGCACCGCUAAUUCCGUGCCAGCAGCCGCGUAAAUACGGAGGGUGCAGCGUUUAUUCGGAAUUACUGGGCGUAAAGCGCACGCAGGCGGUCUGUCAAGUCGGAUGUGAAAUCCCCGGCUUCAACCUGGGAACUGCAUUCGAAACUGGCAGGCUAGAGUCUGNUAGAGGGGGGUAGAAUUCCAGGUGUAGCGGUGAAAUGCGUAGAGAUCUGGAGGAAUACCGGUGGCGAAGGCGGCCCCCUGGACAAAGACUGACGCUCAGGUGCGAAAGCGUGGGGAGCAAACAGGAUUAGAUACCCUGGUAGUCCACGCCGUAAACGAUGUCGACUUGGAGGUUGUGCCCUUGAGGCGUGGCUUCCGGAGCUAACGCGUUAAGUCGACCGCCUGGGGAGUACGGCCGCAAGGU